rnacentral:rRNA from 1 species
UACAGAGGGGGCAAGCGUUAUUCGGAAUUAUUGGGCGUAAAGGGCGCGUAGGCGGCAUGGCAAGUGGACGGUGAAAUCCCUCGGCUUAACCGAGGAACUGCCCUCCAAACUGCUUUGCUUGAGGCCGGGAGAGGUGAGUGGAAUUCCCAGUGUAGCGGUGAAAUGCGUAGAUAUUGGGAGGAACACCAGUGGCGAAGGCGGCUCACUGGACCGGUUCUGACGCUGAUGCGCGAAAGCGUGGGGAGCAAACGGG